rnacentral:lncRNA from 1 species
CUGCAGGUGGAGAAUGAUACUCUAGGAGGAUCUCUGGGAGCAGUUGGGUGACACCUGUUGCUUUGGAACCUAAGAAAAGGGCAAUGAAGUCAGAACCGAAGGAAAUAUGUGUAGAAGUCUGACUUGUUCCUUUUGUAUUUUAAUAAGAUAGAGAUGAGGCCGUUUGUGUCCAUGGGCUUUGUGUGCUGUGUUUGUAACCAUUUUUUUUUUUCUUGCUCUGGUGUUUAAUGGUUAUCUUUCCAGAAGACCAGCUUUUCCUGUCUAUGUCAGAGCAAACAUCAAAGCCUUGGUCUUUGACUUGGGAAUGCAAGAGUCUUAUUAGGUCCAGGCACUGACUAAGAUGCGAGGUAUCUGGUGAGACUCCCUCAUGCUCACUACUUGAACAUAGUUGUUUCUCUGAGAUGGUCUCAGAAUCUUCAGUCCCACGCUCCAUAUGCCGCAUCCAGCAAAACUCCCUGAGGGACUCACAGUCUCCAACCACCAGGGCACUGACAUUAACUCUAUGUCCUUUUAGGUCUCCCUAAGGACAGCCUGAGUUUAAAAUCUCUACCACCAAGUGAGGAAGACAAUGACGAUGCCCAGAUUUUACCAUCACGUGUGCAGGGUUCUUCUGAGGACAACCUGAGUUUAGUAAGCCUACCACAAAGUGAAGAUGAAGAUUUGGAUGAUGAUGAUGAUGCCCAGAUUUUACCAUCACCUGUGCAGGCUCAUCCUGAGGACGACCUGUUUUUAAGAUGCUCACCACAACAUAAAGAUGAAGAUGAUAAUGAUGAUGGUGAUGUCCAGAUAACAGCUUGGAAUGAAAAUGACUUGACACUGGAGAGUAUAAGUGACGAGGAGACUCAUCCAGGGUGA